rnacentral:rRNA from 1 species
AACGAACGCUGGCGGCAUGCCUAACACAUGCAAGUCGAACGAGACCGUCGGGUCUAGUGGCGCACGGGGGCGUAACGCGGGGGAACCUGCCCUUAGGUUCGGAAUAACUCACCGAAGGGGGUGCUAAGACCGGAUAAUGUCUUAGGACCAAAGAUUUAUCGCCUUUGGAUGGGCCCGCGUUGGAUUAGCUAGUUGGUAGGGUAAAAGCCUAUCAAGGCGACGAUCCAUAGCUGGUGUGAGAGGAUGCUCAGCCACACUGGGCCUGCGACACGGCCCAGACCCCUACGGGAGGCAGCAGUGGGGAAUAUUAGAGAAUGAGCGAUAGCCUGAUCCAGCAGUGCCGGGUGAGUGAUGAAGGCCUUAGGGUUGUAAAGCUGUUUUACCCGGGAUGAUAAUGACAGUACCGGGUGAAUAAGCUCCGGCUAACUCCGUG